rnacentral:rRNA from 1 species
CAGCAGCCGCGGGAAUACAGAGGGUGCGAGCGUUAAUCGGAUUUACUGGGCGUAAAGCGUGCGUAGGCGGCUUCUUAAGUCGGAUGUGAAAUCCCUGAGCUUAACUUAGGAAUUGCAUUCGAUACUGGGAAGCUAGAGUAUGGGAGAGGAUGGUAGAAUUCCAGGUGUAGCGGUGAAAUGUGUAGAGAUCUGGAGGAAUACCGAUGGCGAAGGCAGCCAUCUGGCCUAAUACUGACGCUGAGGUACGAAAGCAUGGGGAGCAAACAGGAUUAGAGACCCCCGUAGUCCCUGUCUCUUAUAC